AGCAGCAUGGCGCAGAUGGAAGCGCGCGGGGCCCAUAGGAUCAGCUGAUUCAGUGACCCCGAGGUCACUCGAUCGAAACGAGUUGCUGCUA